AGCGAACGCUGGCGGCAGGCCUAACACAUGCAAGUCGAACGAACCUUUCGGGGUUAGUGGCGGACGGGUGAGUAACACAUGGGAACGUGCCUUUAGGUUCGGAAUAACUCAGGGAAACUUGUGCUAAUACCGAAUGUGCCCUUCGGGGGAAAGAUUAAUCGCCUUUAGAGCGGCCCGCGUCUGAUUAGCUAGUUGGUUGAGGUAAUGGCUCACCAAGGCGACGAUCAGUAGCUGGUCUGAGAGGAUGAUCAGCCACAUUGGGACUGAGACACGGCCCAAACUCCUACGGGAGGCAGCAGUGGGGAAUCUUGCGCAAUGGGCGAAAGCCUGACGCAGCCAUGCCGCGUGAAUGAUGAAGGUCUUAGGAUUGUAAAAUUCUUUCACCGGGGACGAUAAUGACGGUACCCGGAGAAGAAGCCCCGGCUAACUUCGU
rnacentral:rRNA from 1 species